GGGCGACAAAACGGCAUGAAACCGCACGAGACGCAACCAAACGCAAGAGCUUAACUGCCUUCACACGGAAGAGGUCAUCAGUUCGAGUCUGGUAUCGCCCACCA
rnacentral:tRNA from 1 species